AUUGAACGCUGGCGGCAUGCUUUACACAUGCAAGUCGAACGGUAACAGGCCGCAAGGUGCUGACGAGUGGCGAACGGGUGAGUAAUGCAUCGGAACGUGCCCAGUCGUGGGGGAUAACUACUCGAAAGAGUAGCUAAUACCGCAUACGAUCUAUGGAUGAAAGCGGGGGACCGUAAGGCCUCGCGCGAUUGGAGCGGCCGAUGUCAGAUUAGGUAGUUGGUGGGGUAAAGGCUCACCAAGCCAACGAUCUGUAGCUGGUCUGAGAGGACGACCAGCCACACUGGGACUGAGACACGGCCCAGACUCCUACGGGAGGCAGCAGUGGGGAAUUUUGGACAAUGGGCGCAAGCCUGAUCCAGCAAUGCCGCGUGCAGGAAGAAGGCCUUCGGGUUGUAAACUGCUUUUGUACGGAACGAAACGGCUCUGGUAAAUACCCGGGGCUAAUGACGGUACCGUAAGAAUAAGCACCGGCUAACUACGUG
rnacentral:rRNA from 1 species